rnacentral:lncRNA from 1 species
AGAGAGGCCGGGAGCUCGGGCGGCCGGACGGAGGAGGGACGAGGCAGCGCGCGGGGGAGCGCGCCCUCGCCCUGGCCCCUCCGAGUCUUCGACUAGUCCUUGCAACUUCUUGGCGUGAUAAUCGGGAAAAGUUGGCCCGUGCCAGGUUUCCGACAGGGAUCAAACAGGUAAUGGCCUCGCAUCUUCGCUGUUGCUGCUGCUCUGGGCGCGGCACAGUCGCAGCACAGGAAUUCAGCCGCCGCAGGCACCCUCCGGAACAGCGCGACAGCCUCCUUGCAGCCCCCUCCCGCGACGGCCCCUCCCUCCCGGGGCUGAGCCCGUAGGCUCGGAGCCGCAGGCCGCCCCUCCCACCCCCACCCCCACCCCCACCCCCCCAAGUCCCCGGCCGCCCGUUCCGGCUAACACCUGUAGGGGCUUCCGCACUGCCCCAGUCGUCCAAAUCCUUCUCCCCUCCUUUUCCCGAAAGGAGCUUCGGGAGGAAACAGUGAUGGAGGAGGAACUGAGAUGAGAAGUUCGCCAGAUCCCUGCCUCAGGCUUGGACGCACCAACAACCCGGAGAACCCUCACCCACCCGCGCAGAGGAAAAUGCAUGGCACAUUAUUAAUGAGACUUGAGAAGGGGGCAUCUCUCUGUGAUCUGUCUGUCUACGGACCUCAUUCAUUCUCCUCUCUCUUCCACAAAGAGAACUCACAAAGGCCUGUGACCAGAGGGUGCUUAAAAUUUCAGAGACGAAUGUGAAUAUUACUUUCAAAUCUCCAACAGGAAACUAUGCCAAAGUCACAUCCAUCUUGAGAAGGCCUCAGAGGAGCUGUAAGGAAGCUGAGGGGACCUGCUCUCAAGAGGCAUCUCCAGGAGAGAGACAGAAACCCAAACAGAUGUGACUGUGAUGAGUAAAAAUGAGAGAACUCAGACAGCCUAAUCGGGAGCAGCCUCAGUCCAUUCUGAGCAGAAAGGAAUUGGCUGUCUUUCUGAAAUUCUGAAAAUGAGAAAUUUCAAACACCCUUCCUAUGUGAAGAUAAGCUCACUCAGAAUCACUUGCCAGUUUGUUCUCCUUCUACACUAACAGUUCACCAAAAUAUCUGAGUGGGAAGUUACCUGGUCAAGGACUGAUGAUGAGCUCAAAGAAAGGAAAUGUUGGCAGAUUCAAAUGCACCAACGUCGAGUAACACUGGGAUCUCCCCAUUCACUAAGUAAGGCAGCAGAGAGAGUAUUUACGAGAUGAGGUAGCCAAGUACCACCUUUUGUGGUCUAAUUAUGUACAAAGGCUCAGAGAAACAACUGGAUAGAAAUACAAAUGAGGAGUUUAGAGAAAAGCUAACAGAAUAGGCUCUUUUCAGCCAGCCAGGCACAGUGGCUCACACCUGUAAUCCCAGCAUUUUGGGAAGCUGAGGCAGAAGGAUCCCUUGAGCCCAGGAGUUCCAGGCUGCAGCAAGCUAUGAUCCUGCCACUGCAUUCCACCCUGGGUGACAGAGUAAGACCCUGCCUCUAAAAAAAAGAAAAAUAAGAAAAAAGAAAGAAAAGAAAUAGACACUUAACUCCAGGAAGAAAAAUGCAAUUUAAGGAAAUCUUGUUAGUGUCACACUAGAAUGCCAGGUAAAGAAAGAGUGACUACUGUAUUCUGUUACAUACCCUGACACAUAUAUUAGCUGGCAAAGAUUAGAUCAUUUAGGGGAGUUAUACUUCAGAAACAAAGGUCUCCAGAACCAUCCUUUUAGAAACUGAUUGGCCUUCCUGAAUUGCAUUUAGAAUGAAAAUCCACAAGACCUUAGGCUUGCAUCACACUAGGAUGGUGGCUUGGUUUUCAUUAUGUCCUGUUUCUGAGAUCAUUCUCUAAAUACUUAAGCUAUAGAAUUUACUGAUGCUACCUCUGAUUUAUAUUUAAAAUCAAUUGAGAAAACACUGAUUAAUUCUGAUCCUUAAGAAGAAAAAUCCUAUAACCCACAUACAAAUUUCAUUGUUCAGUCAUAAUUUAUGAACAUUAAAGCCAUAAAACGCCCUGAUGGUAUUAAUCAUGUCUGUGAAUUCAGCACUUCACCAUUUAAUUAGCCAUGGCAGCUGCAACAUCGAGAGUUCAAGGCCUCUGAUUACCUGCUUGGCCAUUUAAUCAAGAAAACCUGGAGAGAAAUAGCAGCUUUCUGGGGCGGAGGUUUCUCCCUUAAUCUUGAGGAGAGAAUACAAGGAAAUGAGCUUAAGCUUUAAUAUGUGGGGAUUUAAGUUUUGUACAAGGAAAACAUUCUUUUCAGUGAGCGUUGUUAAAUACUAUGAUUGAUUGCUGAUUUUUCUUCUAUAAAACCUUUUAUGAAUACAACAAAAACCUUUUCUAUCUAGCUAGGUAUGUGGGUUGGUUUCCAUUAAGACUAUCAUUCUGUCAUAAAAUCUACACGACUAUUUGUAUAACCAUGACCUGCCACCAAGAAGUAAUCACUAGGAGAGUGGAAAGGGGCAGUAACACCAUUAUGAGAAGGCAAAGGUCCCCUCUGAUAGGGCAUGGGGAUUGCUAGUGUUUUUGUUGUUGUUGUUGUUGGUUUGUUUUGUUUUGUUUUGAGAUCUGGUCUCUCUGUCACCCAGUCAGGAGUGCAGUGGCGUGAUCAGCUCUCUGUAACCUCUAACUCCUGGGCUCAAGCCAUGUCCCAUCUCAGUCCCCAAGUAGCUGGGACUACGGGCACGUGCCACCACAUUUAACUAUUUUUUUUUUCUAAGGCUAAGGUCUCACUUUGUUGCCCAGGCUUGUCUCUAUCUAUCUCCUGGCUUCAAGUGAUCCUCCCGCCUUGGCCUCCCAACGUGCUGGGAAUUACAGGUGUGAGCCAUAACACAAAGCUAAUUGUUAGUGCUUUUGCCUUUGGAAGAUCAUACUGGAUGAACUUGGAGCAUGUGGAUCAAGGCAGUCACAUUCAUUUCCUGAAGUUUCUCUCAUCCAACUUGCAGAAAACACUUUGUAGACACAAUAAAUGUAUUAUUAAUCAAAUGGGUUGCUUCAGUGGUGACAGAGUGUCUAGAGCCAAGAAAAGCAUCAGGUUCUCUAAGUGAAUUUGAUUCUGUUUUACUCAAUAAUAUUUGAAGAUCUUGAAGGAACAAUUUCUAUUUUAUGAACUAAGUGAUGGCUAACAAACAUUAAGUGAGGUGCUUCUAUGGUGAGACAUUUAUGGCAGGCUAAAAAUGUACAAGAAUCAGAGGCAAAAUAUCUGUAACACUGGGUUCAUUUCUUGCCCAGUGAACUAGGUAACCUAAAUGAAAAGCUAGGGGAAAAAAUGAUGGAGGAUUUGAGGCAAUGGCAGACAACCUAAUUUUUCUGGAUUUAAGCCAAUUCAGGAAAUAAAGUUACUGGAAGGUGACCUAAACUCAGUAUUUGAGGAAAGGAAUGCAGUGUGGGCAAAUGAUCUAGUGUCUGUUAUUAUUUAGCAUAUGGAGGCAAGAUUCACAACCAGCAUUAAGGAACACUGGAUGGAUUUCCUACUUGCCAAUGGCACUGUUUGCUCCAAUUUCCUAUCAAGAAUUUAUAUUUUUUAAAGCAACAGAGAGGUAAUGGGAAAAUACUUUAGUGUUCCCUCAGGAUUAAGAGUCUUAACACAUCUCUUUUCAGACACUGACCAAGAUUUGGGGAGAAGAACCUGGUAUAUUCAGAGAAAAUACUAUCCUCCAUAUUCUAAGGAGGAGAUGAAAGACAGGUUGAUAACCCACCUGAGAACUGUGCAGAUGCCCUAGAUGAUUUUUAAGCUCUCCCUUCUGCUUUAGAUUUGUUUUUCCCAAAACUGGGGUUGGAAAUGGUGAUAACACUCAAUAAAUACUAUGGUUAUAGUUGGACAAGCAACUUGUUAAGUGCUAUAACCUUAAUCCCUUUAAUCCUUACAACAACAUGUAAGGUAGGUAUUAUCAUUAUUGCCAUUGCAAAGGUGAGAAAAGUGAAGCCUGGAAAGACUAAGUGAUAUGACUCUGGUUUCCUGGCUAGUACAUAAGUGGAAGUGCAAGUAUUUAAGCUAAGGAUCCUGAGCCAAAAAGCACAUUUAUGUAUACAAGGCCAGACCUUUAAAUACUACUUCUUUCCUCAUUGGCAGUGGGUCUGGAAUUUGGGUUGCUCAACAGUGGUGCCUGGAUGUGACUAUGUUUUGGCUUGGGGGACUGAACGAGAUGAAAUAUAGCAUGAUUUUUCUAAUCAGUUUUUUUUUCUUUAACAAAAGUGAAUUAUGAAAUAAAAAUAAUACAUAUGAUCUAUGCCUAGUUAUAAGCACAGUUCAUAACACUCAAUAACUUCUUAUAGCAAUAUUUAAAGAAAACAUUGCUAACUUUCUCAUGAAAAUUAUAGGAUUAUAAAGCACUACUUAAUGUUAUUCUAUGUUUCCUAGCCCAAGAAAUAGUUUAACACUAGAACCUGUUUUGACUCAGGUAAUCUGGGACUUUGGAAUGCUAUGAGACCCAAAGGACACUUCCCGGCCUUUCUCUCCAUCACUACUUAGCAGAGACAAGAAGUUAAAGCACUCCAAACACUCAGUUCUUUUCGUACAGGAAAAACUGGCUUUCCACACUGUAAGCUUUUUUGUGCCAUCUGUUUUUAGCUACAGGAAGCUUGAGUUCAGCCAAAAGAGAGAAAAAUAUUAUACACAGUGUAUUCACUUCCAUACUCGGAAGCCCAUGACUAUCCUUUUGCAAUUAGGAGCUUCUCCAAUAUCUAUUCUAGCUAAUUUGCUCUAACUUUUCUCUUCUGACAAACAGUUAAAAGUACAGUCAACAGACUGAAAUUAUUUAGUAACUUUUCGUGCAACCACUGAAGGCCUCAAGCAAUUUUAGAAACUGAUUUCCUAACAGAAGCCUUGAUGCUUACCUAAUGAUUUCAUUUUAGAGAAGAGAUCUGAGGCAAGAGAAGUUGAAUACAUUUGGCUUGGGCCAUUUGUUCAUUUGUUCAUUCAUUAAUUUAUUCAUUCAACAUUUACUGAUAACUGUUUGACAAGUACUGAGCUAAGACCUGAAGGAUGCAAAAAUACUAAUAGCUCUAAUGUAUUGAGCACCAACUCUACUCCGGGCACUAUUCAAAGUACAAUAAAUCAUUACUUAUGUCAUUGAUAUGUUCUUGAAAACUGCAAUUUUAAGCGAAAUGACAUAACGAAACCAAAUUUUUUUCUCAUCAACAUUAUAAGGAAACAAUAUUGAAAGAAAUGACAUUAUUUGAAGACCUGCUGUAUGUCAUCUCACUUAAAGUUGCAAUUUCCAAGAACUUAUUUAUGACAUUUAAGCGAGGACUUAUUGUACUUUGUUUACUCUUUUAAUACUUAUAAUAACCUUAUGAACUUAUCUCCAUUUUACAGAUUAAGAAGCUGAGAUGAAGAAAGGCUAAUGCAUUCAUUAGUGUAGGGAGUGGUGGAGUCAGAAUUUAAAUUUGUGCAUACUGCCUUUAUAUUUCAUGUUUUAAAAAAUGACUCUACUGCCUCUCCAGUGACUGUCCCUGGCCUCAAGUGGAGGAGAAAGAGAAGUAAAUAGUUAACUAAAACACAAGUGUGGUAAGCACUUUAAGAAUGAUACUAAAUAUCCAGUGUUUUCAGAGCCCAAAGAGGGUGCAGCUAACUCCGUGGGCAGGAGGGCAGGAGGGCAGGAAUUGAAUCCAGCUUCAGAAAACAAAACCUGUCACUGAAGAUGAAUGUGGGAGGAUGGGAAGAAGCUCAGAAGUUGGGGAACGAAAUUAGGUAAAGCCAGACUUCAAACCUGGAUUUCAACUGACUACUGGUACUAUAUUCUUCUUACUAGGCCAUAUUACUUUCCCUCAGGUAAAGAAUUUGCAAAACCUUAGAUUUUUAUAUCACUACCCUUUGAACAUCAACCACUGGGGACUGGGAGAAAUCGACUAUGCUAUGUGGAUAUUCUGAUGAACAUUUGUAAGUUUUUAUUCCUUGCUUUAAAGAGAUCGUCUUCUUUUUCCUACUGAUCGCAUUCAGUACAUAUUGUCAACAUUGAUGUUCAAGUAUACAGUUGUUACUGAUUUCUGACUGGCAACAGCAGAGGGUGUAGUAGAAGUAAUCCCUUUAGAAAGAUGCCAAUAAAAAUGAAAAUUACAUUGGCAUGUAUGUCAUGGUAAGUCAGCCAUUCUCCUGAUAUAACUGGCGUGAGGUUGGAGACCAGAGAUUUUUCACAUGGGCAGUCAAUAAAUAAUUUUUAUGAUGAUAAAACUUUAAGGUAACAAAUUAAAGAUUGUGUGAAAAGACUGUCCAAGCCAGGUAAUGCCAGUAAUUCAUCUAUAUAGAUUUCAGUAUUCCUAUAGGAGAGGAACAACUAGGAUUUGGUUGGUAUUUGAAUAUAUUGAAAACAUAUUGAAAAUUUCCCUGCUCACUGUAUUCCUCUUCAAUUGUGCUUAAUCAGUUUUUCUAUUGCUGUGCUUCAAUUCUGGAAAUUUAGCUAUCAACUCUUUACUUAUUGCCUCUCUUUAAAUCUCUGUUGUUCUACUGAAACUUCUGUUAGGUGCAUCCUACCUAUUCUUCCAUAAAACAUAGAAAUAACGGAUAAAAUAUUCAUUUUAUUUAGUCUCUCCCUCAUGAUUCCUUACUUCUCUUUCCUAGUUCCAUCUCUGUAUCUUUCUUUGCAAAAUCUGGGUGCUUCACUGAUCCCCUCUUUAGCUGGAUUUAUCUGUUGAUUUUGUUUUUAUUUCAUUGGUAGAAAUACUAUAUAUUAUACAAUAAUAUUUUAUGAAUGGCAUACAAAAUCAUAUCUAUACACACAAAUGUUAUAUAUAAAAUAUAUAUACACACAUAUAUUAAAUACAUAUAUAUAUUUACAAUUUCUGUUUGGUGUUUGAUAAUAUGUCUAUUUUUUCAUAACGUUCUGAUCAUAUCUUAAGAGUUUUAUUCCUUUAUCUUACUGAACAUUUUGAUCACACUUAUGCACUUAUGUUAAAGCCUCUUUCAUAUUGCCUUAUUUCUGGAAUAUGAAUUACUCUGGUUAUUGUCACUGCUGACCUACCUCAUUCCAAAGAAGAAUUGAAGUGGCUUACAAAAAGGUGCACAAGAAAAUAAAAUUGAAACACAAAUAAAGAAACAUGAGAGUGAACGACCAAGAGUCAGAUGGUAGAGGAGGCCAGCAGGGUUUCCAACCAAGGUUUCUAACUCUUAGUCUCACUCCCUUUCAGCUCCAUUAGGCUGCCUCCAAAAGCUUUUGAACCACUGGGUGGUGACUGGCAAGAGAUUUGUUGGCAUUAAUAAAAAAGUAGCAACAAUUUUGACCUCACAAAGCAAACAGCCCAGUAUCUAUUUGAAUAAUCUCCCAUCAAAUGUAAGCACUGAAAAUUGAAUCCAAACUUGAAUUACGGCAAUUAUCCUGCUUGGAUUAGAAGCCUAAUCAACCAACAGACACAAGUAAGGUGAAAUGAGCUGAAACCACAGAGAAAAUUGGUCCAUGAGAGGACAGGGGCCUGGGUUUAAUUUUCAGAGCUACAUAUAUGUUUAAAAAGGUAGCUCUAUUUCUGAGAUAAUCUAAUUCAAUUUUGAUCACAUCACAUUUUAUAGAUAUCCACCUGCUCCCGGGUUUUGAUGAGAGUUUAAAUAAUAAAGUGGCUUUACUUGGAUCCUAUGCUUCAACUAGUAUCACAGCUAUCAUUUUCUUAAGUGUUGUACUGAAAUUGAAAAUGAUAAUAUCUAUAAAACCUCUCUAGUGCUGACAUUUCCAAGUCUCUUUUCCAGCACAAACAAAAUUAGAAAAUGAAAAAUAUAACCUUUCCCACUCUGUAGUUUCUUUACAGGGUAUAAAAUAGAAAGGUAGUCUAUAUUCAAGAAUUAUGGCCAACUAACAGGAAUAAUAAUAACAGUGAUAAUAAUAAUAGCAGCUAACAUUUUCCCAAGCAUUUACUCUGAGCCAACCAUUGUUCCAAAUGUUUUACAUGUGUUAACUUAUCCAAAUCUCAUAACAACCUUCUGAGGUAGGUACUGUUAUUAGCUUUAUGUUAUAGGUGAGGAGAAAAGAUACGACGAGAUUAAAAAUUUUGCCUAAGGUCACACAGCUAAUGGAUGGUGGAAGUAGGAUACUAACUCAGACAGUCCUGCUACACACAGAUAUGCAAAUAAUCCUGAUUUAUAGUUAUUUGGUCAGAGGGAUGGAUUGUAUAUUUUAUGAAUGAUUUCAGACCCUCUUCUACUCCCUCUUACUUUCUUUCUGUUUAUAUCACUGUCAAUUAACUUUCCAGUAGUAGAGGCUCAGAGAUGGUAAAACUACCACUAAAUUUAUAGAAAGUUGUAUGAAUUUCUUUAAGAAGUGGGAAUACUUCUCCUUUCCUCAGUUUUUUCCUAUUUAUGGUCAUUGCAGUAAUUUCUAUCAUCCUUUGCAGCUUUGAAAUCACUUCUUCACAUGUAAACAGCUCACCCUGGUGUUGCCAUGGAGAUUUAUAUCAAUGCCAUGAGCCAGGGCCUAAUUUGCGCAUUCUGCUGAUUAACAGGAGUAUUUGCUAAUCCCUGCCAAGCUCUCUCAUCCACUGCCAUGACUAAUCUCACCGGUUGGCGAUGCGUGGAAUUCAUGAAUGCUAGAAACCCAUCAUCUUAGGUUAUUUAACACUUCAAUUCUGUUCAGUAACAACUUAAUUAAGUCUCGAGGGGAAAAAAAGGUCAACAGAAAAAUAAAAUUAAACCUUUUAAGAAAUUAGUUAACAAGAAGGGAACGUUACAAUUCACUGCUGUGAAGCAGAACUAAUAACACAAUAAUGCAAUAUAACAUAAAUGGUACAUUUCAUCUUGGGUACUCAGGGGGUGAUCAUCUGACCAAAAGGUAACUAUCAUUUGUUAAGAGAAUUCUCUGAGCUUGUCAGUGUGCUAGGUGCUUCAACAUAUGUUAUUUCUUUCAUUUUCACAACACUCCUAUGAGGUAGGGUGUUUUUAUGUUUGUUUUGUUUUUAUCAGGUAAGAAAAUUAAGGCCCAGAGAAGUUGAGUCAUUAGCCCAAAUUCACACAACCAGCAAGUGACACUAUGUGAACAAAGCUGGGACCACCCAAUCGUGUCCGACUCCUUGCAUACCACUUGAGUGGAACUGUACACGGAGCUUACUUUCCAUCCAAUAUUUUGAUUUUCUGGAAGACAGAAAUAAGACAAAGGAAGAGAAGCUGCACGGAAAUAGAUUAGGGCUCAUUUUGAUGAAGACAUUUCCAACAAUAGGGAUUGUAUAAAAAUAGGUAGCAUGGACUAUCUUGAAAGGUAAUCAAUGUCUUGUCACUGGCAAUGUUCAUAGAAGGGCCAUGGGAUCACACAGACCUAUUCCAGUACCAAUCAGAUGUUGUGGAAGGGAUUCUUGCAUUUAGUAGAUGAUUGAAUGGUAUCAUCAUAGACCCUUUUGUCAAAGCCCUCACACAAAGACUACCAGAGAAACCUGCUGAUCAUACAAAGCUGGGUAUGUGAAACACACUAAGCAAGAGAAAGUCCCCCUUGACAGAGUCUCAGUACUAUGUUAAAAAGGAGGAGUUAGCAAAGAGUACUUACAGGGUUUUCAAGGCUGGGGUUAGUCAAAGGUAAUUCAUUUUAGGACAGAAGUUUUUAAGUAUAGUGCUUAACAACGCAGGUUAGAAUUUGUAAACUAGGCGAAUUGCUGGAAUAGUCAGUGGUCUUAUCUUUAGGACACAUAAGCCAUGUGGAAUUACUAUUAAAACAGUCUGAGCUAAAAACCAAUAAAAAGCAAAGAAACUCUCACAAACCAGAGGAGAUUGAGGAGAUAUAAUGACUAAAUGCACUGUGCUAUCCUGGAUUGAAUCCUGGAACAGAAAAAGGGCCUUAGUGGAAAACCUGGUGAAAUCCAAAUAAAGUCUGGGGUUUAGUUGAUAAUAAUGUACCAGUGUUGAUUUCUUAGUUUUGACAGAUGUACCAUAGUAUGUUAACUUUAGGGAAACCUAGAUGAAGGGUAUAUAUGAAUUCUCUGUACUAUAUUUGCAACUUUUCUGUAAACUUAAAAUUAUUCAAAAC